GCGGCAGUAGCUCAGUUGGCAGAGCGCUAGCUUCCCAAGCUGGAAGUCGCGGGUUCGAAUCCCGUUUGCCGCU
rnacentral:tRNA from 1 species